rnacentral:rRNA from 1 species
CCUACGGGUGGCAGCAGUGAGGAAUAUUGGUCAAUGGCCGGAAGGCUGAACCAGCCAUGCCGCGUGAAUGUCAGUGCCCUUUGGGCUUUAAACUUCUUUUGUGCGGGAGCAAUAUGGGUCACGUGUUGCCCGACGAGAGUACCGUACGAAUAAGCAGCUGCUUAAACCGUGGCAGCAGCCGCGGUAAUACGGGGGGUGCAAGCGUUGUCCGGAUUUAUUGGGGUUAAAGGGUGCGUAGGCUGUGAGGUAAGUCAGCGUGGAAAUGCCCCGGCUCAACGGGGUGAAGUGCCAUUGAUACUGACUUGCUGGAGUGCGGAAGAGGUGGGAGGAAUGUGUGGUGUAGCGGUGAAAUGCAUAGAGAUCACGCAGAACACCGAUUGCGAAGGCAUCUCACGAGUCCGCGAUUGACGCUGAUGCACGAAAGCGUGGGUAUCAAACAGGAUUAGAUACCCGUGUAGUC